rnacentral:lncRNA from 1 species
CCAGUCUUCACCUUCACCUGGAUGUCAUCUCCUGGCUCUCUGUGCAGCCUCUAGCCUUCAGCACUGGCCCCUGGGCUUUCCCUUGUAAUCCCUGGCUACAACAAAAUUGAUGUUUCAAAGUUCAGACCCCUCUCCGAGGAGAAAUGUGCCCACCUGAGUACCCUCUGCCACUUCACCAACCACCCACAUCUGAAACUCAUGGGACACCAGUGUGACUCGCAGCUUCUGGAUCCCAUCCCAGAAGACAAACAGAAGCAUGCAGAAGGCACCUGCGAAUCUGAAUUUCAAAGAGCUUUACAUGAAUUAAUAGGAAAUUAAGUUUGAAAACUUAAAGAAACUAAAAAAGAGACAUUACAAGGGUUUUAUUUAUAGUAGUCAGAAGUUUUCUUCUUGAUCCUUGGUUAAAACAAGAUCCUUAGUAUAGUCCUGGUGCUUGGAUAUAAACAGCUAAUGCUUACUCAGCCACCUCCUCUUUGACAAAGGAGCCAACCACCCUCAUUGGAGGAAAGAUAGCCUAUUUAAUAAAUGGUGUUGGAAAAACUGGAUUUCAACCU